UUAGUAUAGUUAUGAUCCAUCACGCUUGUUAUAUCAAUGUUUGGAGUAGGAAUGGCCAGAGGCCAACAGGGUUCACAGAGGUAGGACGAUGUGAAGGCCUCCCCGAGAGGGGUGACCCAAAUCACUAAUGAUCCUUCCGCAGGUUCACCUACGGAAA
rnacentral:misc_RNA from 1 species